AUGAACGCUAGCUACAGGCUUAACACAUGCAAGUCGAGGGGCAGCAUUUUAGUUUGCUUGCAAACUGAAGAUGGCGACCGGCGCACGGGUGAGUAACACGUAUCCAACCUGCCGAUAACUCCGGAAUAGCCUUUCGAAAGAAAGAUUAAUACCGGAUGGCAUACGAAUAUCGCAUGAUAUUUUUAUUAAAGAAUUUCGGUUAUCGAUGGGGAUGCGUUCCAUUAGUUUGUUGGCGGGGUAACGGCCCACCAAGACUACGAUGGAUAGGGGUUCUGAGAGGAAGGUCCCCCACAUUGGAACUGAGACACGGUCCAAACUCCUACGGGAGGCAGCAGUGAGGAAUAUUGGUCAAUGGGCGAGAGCCUGAACCAGCCAAGUAGCGUGAAGGAUGAAGGCUCUAUGGGUCGUAAACUUCUUUUAUAUGGGAAUAAAGUUUUCCACGUGUGGAAUUUUGUAUGUACCAUAUGAAUAAGGAUCGGCUAACUCCGUGCCAGCAGCCGCGGUAAUACGGAGGAUCCGAGCGUUAUCCGGAUUUAUUGGGUUUAAAGGGAGCGUAGGUGGAUUGUUAAGUCAGUUGUGAAAGUUUGCGGCUCAACCGUAAAAUUGCAGUUGAAACUGGGAGUCUUGAGUACAGUAGAGGUGGGCGGAAUUCGUGGUGUAGCGGUGAAAUGCUUAGAUAUCACGAAGAACUCCGAUUGCGAAGGCAGCUCACUAGACUGUCACUGACACUGAUGCUCGAAAGUGUGGGUAUCAAACAGGAUUAGAUACCCUGGUAGUCCACACAGUAAACGAUGAAUACUCGCUGUUUGCGAUAUACAGUAAGCGGCCAAGCGAAAGCAUUAAGUAUUCCACCUGGGGAGUACGCCGGCAACGGUGAAACUCAAAGGAAUUGACUGGGGCCCGCACAAGCGGAGGAACAUGUGGUUUAAUUCGAUGAUACGCGAGGAACCUUACCCGGGCUUAAAUUGCAACAGAAUAUAUUGGAAACAGUAUAGCCGUAAGGCUGUUGUGAAGGUGCUGCAUGGUUGUCGUCAGCUCGUGCCGUGAGGUGUCGGCUUAAGUGCCAUAACGAGCGCAACCCUUAUCUUUAGUUACUAACAGGUUAUGCUGAGGACUCUAGAGAGACUGCCGUCGUAAGAUGUGAGGAAGGUGGGGAUGACGUCAAAUCAGCACGGCCCUUACGUCCGGGGCUACACACGUGUUACAAUGGGGGGUACAGAAGGCGGCUACCUGGUGACAGGAUGCUAAUCCCAAAAACCUCUCUCAGUUCGGAUCGAAGUCUGCAACCCGACUUCGUGAAGCUGGAUUCGCUAGUAAUCGCGCAUCAGCCAUGGCGCGGUGAAUACGUUCCCGGGCCUUGUACACACCGCCCGUCAAGCCAUGAAAGCCGGGGGUACCUGAAGUACGUAACCGCAAGGAGCGUCCUAGGGUAAAACUGGUAAUUGGGGCU
rnacentral:rRNA from 1 species